UACGUAGGGUGCGAGCGUUGUCCGGAUUUAUUGGGCGUAAAGAGCUCGUAGGCGGUUUGUCGCGUCGGCCGUGAAAUCUCCACGCUUAACGUGGAGCGUGCGGUCGAUACGGGCAGACUUGAGUUCGGUAGGGGAGACUGGAAUUCCUGGUGUAGCGGUGAAAUGCGCAGAUAUCAGGAGGAACACCGGUGGCGAAGGCGGCACUCUGGGCCGGUACUGACGCUGAGGAGCGAAAGCGUGGGGAGCGAACAGG
rnacentral:rRNA from 1 species